UGGGGAAUUUUGGACAAUGGGCGCAAGCCUGAUCCAGCAAUGCCGCGUGAGUGAAGAAGGCCUUCGGGUUGUAAAGCUCUUUCAGUCGAGAAGAAAAGGUUGUGACCAAUAAUCACAACUCAUGACGGUAUCGACAGAAGAAGCACCGGCUAACUACGUGCCAGCAGCCGCGGUAAUACGUAGGGUGCGAGCGUUAAUCGGAAUUACUGGGCGUAAAGGGUGCGCAGGCGGUUUUGUAAGUCAGAUGUGAAAUCCCCGGGCUUAACCUGGGAACUGCGUUUGAAACUACAAGACUAGAGUGUGGCAGAGGGGGUGGAAUUCCAUGUGUAGCAGUGAAAUGCGUAGAGAUAUGGAAGAACAUCGAUGGCGAAGGCAGCCCCCUGGGUUAACACUGACGCUCAUGCACGAAAGCGUGGGGAGCAAACAGGAUUAGAUACCCCCGUAGUCCCUGAGCGGGCUGGCAAGGCGCAU
rnacentral:rRNA from 1 species